CGAACACGGAGAUAGCUGGUUCUCCCCGAAAUGUAUUUAGGUACAGCGUUAUGUAAAUACUUCAUGGAGGUAGAGCACUGGAUAGACUAGGGGGCGCAAGCUUACCAAACCUAACCAAACUCCGAAUACCAUGAAGGGUAUCAUAGCAGUGAGACUGUGGGGGAUAAGCUCCAUUGUCGAAAGGGAAACAGCCCAGAUCGCAAGUUAAGGUCCCAAAGUAUAUGCUAAGUGUUAAACGAAGUAGGGUCGCCCAGACAGCCAGGAGGUUGGCUUAGAAGCAGCCAUCCUUUAAAGAGUGCGUAAUAGCCCACUGGUCAAGGGGCCCCGCACGGAAAAUAAACGGGGCUAAAGCAUAUCACCGAGACUGCGGGAUUUAAUUUUUUAAUUAGAUCGGUAGGGGAGUGUCGUUAAAGCGUUGAAGCUGAGCUGUAAGGCUUGGUGGAGUUUUAACAAGUAAGAAUGUUGGCAUGAGUAGCAAAAAUGCCGGUGAGAAUCCGGCAGGCCGUAAGUCUAAGGAUUCCUACGCAACGUUGAUCGACGUAGGGUUAGUCGGGCCUAAGGCGUAUCCGAAAGGAAAAGUCGAUGGACAGCUGGUAAAUAUUCCAGCACCUUCAAAAUUUUGUUUGAUUCAAAGGGGUGACGCAGAAAGAUAAACAGAGCAUACGUAUUGGACAUCGUGUGUUUCUACCUGUAAGAGAUAUAGAGAGGGUUAAAAUACUUUCUAUGCUUGAUCUGAGGGGUGGGAGAACUAUGAAGUUAGCUUCGUAGAAUUCUGUUGACUCUAGACUGCCAAGAAAAGCCUCGUUGAUUAGAUUUUUUGAAGACCGUACCGCAAACCAACACAGGUAGACAGGGAUAAAAGUCCCAAGGCCUUCGAGAGAACCAUCGUUAAGGAACUCGGCAAAUUGACCCCGUAACUUAGGGAGAAGGGGGACCUUUUAUGUAUAUGAGCUUGCCUCAAAAAGCAUAAAAGGUAGCAUAAAAUAGGUUGAAGCGACUGUUUAUCAAAAACACAGGUCCAUGCCAAAGCGAAAGCUGAUGUAUAUGGGCUGACGCCUGCCCAGUGCCGGUAGGUUAAGGAAGGUGGUGCAAGCUACUGACUGAAGCCCCGGUGAACGGCGGCCGUAACUAUAACGGUCCUAAGGUAGCGAAGUCCCUUGUCGGGUAAGUUCCGACCCGCACGAAUGGCGUAACGACUUCAACACUGUCUCAACGAUGGACUCGGUGAAAUUGCAGGACCGGUAAAGAUGCCGGUUACGCGCAGCAGGACAAAAAGACCCCGUGGAGCUUUACUGCAACUUGGCAUUGGUUCGAGUUUUAAAAUGUGUAGGAUAGGCGGGAGACUAUGAACUUCAGGCGUUAGCCUGGGGGGAGUCGCCCUUGAAAUACCGCCCUUUUUAUGAUUUGAACCUAACCUUUUGGAACAGUGUCUGGUGGGCAGUUUGACUGGGGCGG
rnacentral:rRNA from 1 species